rnacentral:rRNA from 1 species
AACGUAGGUGGCAAGCGUUAUCCGGAUUUACUGGGCGUAAAGCAUGUGCAGACGGGUUGGUAAGUGGUGUAUGAAAGCGUCCGGCUUAACCGGGCAAGCGUAGGCCAGACUGCCAGUCUUGAGAGUGGGAGAGGGAUGUGGAAUUCCGGGUGUAGUGGUGAAAUGCGUAGAGAUCCGGAGGAACCCCAGAGGCGAAGGCGGCGUCCUGGCCCAUUUCUGACGUUCAGACAUGACAGCAUGGGGAGCGAACGGGAUUAGAAACCCCGGUAGUCCAUGCCGUAAACGAUGUCGACUAGGCGCUGGGCGGGUAAUACCGCGCGGUGCCGCAGCUAACGCGAUAAGUCGACCGCCUGGGGACUACGACCGCAAGGUUAAA